rnacentral:lncRNA from 1 species
AUCCAUGGAGAAAACAAAAAGCACAAUGUAUCACAAGUAGAAAGACCAUAACUGAAGCCCAAUCAACCAUUCAACACCCCAAGAGCCAUCUCGCUUAAGUUCCACCACCAGGCCCAAAAGAGGGCAUCAUGUAUGUAAGUAGCCAACAGUCUCACGACCCAUCAUAGCUUAGAAGAGUAAUCUAUGGACCACAAAAGACAUAAAUAAGUUCAACUUUAACCGAUGACACACCUCACAACAAUAAACGCGCCGAUGUAGAAUAUACAUC